rnacentral:rRNA from 1 species
AUACGGAGGGUGCGAGCGUUGUUCGGAAUUAUUGGGCGUAAAGAGCAUGUAGGCGGUCUGUUAAGUCUGGUGUGAAAGCCCGGGGCUCAACCCCGGAAGUGCAUUGGAUACUGGCAGACUUGAGUAUGGGAGAGGAAAGCGGAAUUCCGAGUGUAGGAGUGAAAUCCGUAGAUAUUCGGAGGAACACCAGUGGCGAAGGCGGCUCUCUGGACCAAUACUGACGCUGAGAUGCGAAAGCGUGGGGAGCGAACAGGAUUAGAAACCCUAGUAGUCC